GGCUGCUGAGUGUUCCCUCACCCCCACGGCUUUUGGUCACCAUGUUGACCCUGCCAGAAACACUUGCAUGCCUGGGCCACUUCCCGAGCUACUGCCCACACAGCGACCCAUGACCUGGUAGGCAAAUGCCCUGGGGAGACUUUUUUACCCUGCUGCCUGGGACUGGGGAAUGCCAGAGAGGCCUGCCAGAGCCAUGCGCCAGGCUGCCACGCUCCCCAUCCCUGCAGGCUGCUGUAGUACCUGGUCCCUCCCUGCUGUUUUCUGCAGCUCACAGCUGUGCACUCAUUUCCAUCCCUGGGGCUGGGCUGUUCCCCACCUGCAAGGAGUGAAAGGCCAGGAGGCAGUGCUUGCCUGCUCUUCCCCACAGGCUCCCUCAGGUUUUGGUCCCAGAGAUGUAUCUGAAGAGAAGGAGAUGGAAAGCAGAGAGAGAGCUUGAAGGCUGAAGUACAGCGGCGCGAUUUCUGCUCACUGCAACCUCCGCCUCCCGGGUUUAAGCGAUUCUCCUGCCUCAGUAGAAUCCCUGAGUAGCUGGGGUUACAGGAAAUGAAGUGCCACAAGAGGCCAUGCUGACGAAGUUGACUAGUCUUGUUGUUUACCAUCCUGAAGCAGGUAGCUUAAUAAAAAGGUGGAAUGGCCAUUAGAAGACUCAGCUACAGUGGAAGCUUUCCCAAUGUGAUGUGCCUGUUACCGCUUUGCCUUCUGCCAUGACUGGAAGUAUCCUGAGGCCUCCCCACAAGCAGAUGCUACUACUCUUCCUGUAUAGCCUGAAGAACCAUAAGCCAAUGAAACCUCUUUUCUUAUAAAUCACCCAGUUUCAGGCCGUUGUUUACAGUAGUGCAAGAACAGCCUAAUGCACAUGACUGUUGAUAGAGAAUAAUAGGAAUAAGUGCUAAGAAUAAUACUUGUCAUCUUACCCACAGUUUGUAUAUAAAUUAAUGGACAAAUAACUUAAAUAGAAGAUACAGAAACUUCCAAUUUGCAGUCCAGUGUGUAAAGAGCUCAGAGGUUCCCACUCUUCCUAACAAGAUGUAAAAAGCUGAACAAACCAAGAAAUCAAAAACUCUUUUUAGAUCCAUAGGAGAUGUGAGAUUACAGGGCAAACCACUGCCCUCAAAAUUAGAGAUGCCUUCAAGCAAAUGCGGAGAAUCACAACUUACUGCAGCAAAACCCAUGUGCAGAAAGCAACACAGAAAUGAGUACAGGGUGGGAAACCUGAGAUGUAUCAGUGAAUUACUAGAGGCUCAGUGUGCUGAAGUCUGAGCCAGUCAUAAGGACGUCCCCACCGUUGGUGAAUGUAAUAUCCUGAAGCUUGACUUUGUACUUAUGGUAAAUAUCAGAAAAAAUGUUUCAUUCUCCUUACAGGGAAAAGGAAAAAUAACCAUUUUGAAAUAUGCUAGACAUUCUUUUCUUCUCAACAAGGUCUUCACUAAGAAAAAAAAACUAAUUAACUAGAGCCAAACUUGCUGGGGUUUUACUAGAGCCUAAUCUAUAGGGAGAAAGGGAAUACACAAGUUCCGUCUAUAAUAGGCUUCAAUGUGGAGAAGAGAAAUACUCAACUGCAGCCCAUUUUAGCCUUCCUGCCUCACUUAAAAGGGGGUAUAAAAGUACAUGUGAUAUUCAUAGUCCAGAAACAGGAUUAUUAAAAGAUUAAGACCUAAGUGUAGGAUCAUAGAAUGCUUUCCUUCUCCCCACACCUGACUGCUACAUUACAAAGUCCCAUUUACAGAAGCUCCGUUUACACAGUGUAUCAUUCCUGGCUAUCAAUAAUAAAUUACAAGGCAUACUAACAGGAAAAAACAUAGUUAGAACACAUAGAGCAAAAUAAAAACCAGACUCAGGUAUGGCAGGGGUGUGGGAACUAGACUAAGAAUAUGCUAGAGGCAAAUUCUUCCCUAGUCCUUCCUCAUAAUGGCUCCUAAGGAUGCAGAGGUUGUGAAAACGAGUGGUAGUUACUAAUUAUGAUGACCAUACUUUGAAUUUGUUACACCUUUCUUUAUAGUAAGACACCAACUACUUAAGACAAAAACAUGUUUUUGGCAUUACGUUGCUUGAUGUUCUCUAAGCUUCCUGAAUCUGUGGUUUAGUGUUCAACAUUAAAGGAAACGCUGUAAUUAACAUCCUUACAUAAAAGGAACACUUUAAAAGGUGCAUUUUCUCUAAAAAAUGGAUUAAACUCAAACUCAUAUGGCGUAGCAGAUGUGUUCAUAAAUGAACUUAUGACAUUAAAAAUAUGCUAAGGGCUCUAAUGAAAAAAGUGGACAGCAUAAAAGAACAUAUGGGAAAUGUAAGCAGAGAGAUGGAAAUUUUUUAAGAACCAGAAAGAAGCACUGGAGAUUUAAAAUAUUGUAACAGAAAUGAGGACUGCCUCUUGAAGGGCUUAUUAGUCAAUAAUGCAAAGCUUGAAAAUAUCACUGUGGAAAUCCCCAAAACUGAAAACAACAAUGACAAAAGGAAUAGACUAUCCAAGAACAGUGAGAUAGCUACAAAAGUGAAUUGUAUGUAAUGUAAAAACCAGAAGAAGAAGAAAGGAAAAGAAAUAUUUAAAGCAAUAGUUGCAGCGUUUCCUUUAACAUUGGACACCAGACCACAGAUUUGGGAAAUUCAGAAAUCAUCAAGUGGCAUAAUGUCAGAACAAAAUGUAAAACAAAACAACAUAUUUAGGCACAUAAUUUCAAAGAUAGAAAAUUACAGAUACAGCAAGAGUACCUAUGUAAACAUACACAAGUUUCUAAUGUGUAGGUUGCUAAUAGCAGAACACCAAAAUAUACGAAGAAAAAACUGACAGAAGAGCAAGAAGAAAUAGAUGAAUCAACUAGUAUACAAUUAUCGUUGUAGACUUCAACAACCUUCUAUCAGUAAUUGACAGAUUCAGUAAGCAGAAAAUUAGUAAAGGUGUAGUUGAACUCAGCAACACUAUAAAUAAACUGGAUAUCUUGCACAUCUAUAGACUGUUUCUUCCAAUAAUAGCAGAUUACACAUCUCUGGCCACAUGGAACAUUCAUCAACGUAGAUCACUUUCUGGAUGAUAAAAGACAUCUUAAUACAUUAGAAUAAAAUAAAACUCAAUCAAUGUCUUCUCUCAAUUGAUAAUGUAAUUAAACUGGAAACCAAUAAUGGAAAGAUAGCUGAGAAAGCCCAAAAUAUUUGAAGAUCACAUACACACUAAUAAAAAACACAUGGAGUAAAACGUCUUAAGAUAAAUUUUAAAAUAUUUUGAACUAAGUGAAAAUAAAAAUAGAAGCUGUCAAAAUGUGUUGGAUGCAGAAAAAGGAGUGCUUAGAAGAAAAUAUGUAAAACUGCAUAUAUUAGAAAAGAGGAAAGAUCAAAAAUCAAUAUUCAAAGGUUCCUCCUUAAGAACAAAAAAAACAGAGCAAAUUAAAUCCAAAGUACGCGAAAUAAAACAAAUAAUAAAAAUAAGAAAGCCAGCUGUAUUGGCAUGCAGUUAAUAGUCCUAUCUACUCAUGAGGCUGAGGUGGGAAGAUCACUUUAGCUUAGAGUAGAGUCUAGCAUGGGUAGUAUAGCAAGACCCUGUUGAGAGAGAGAGAGAGAGAGAGAGAGAGAGAGAGAGAAAAAGAGAGAGAGAGAGAGAGAAGAAACUAGUGAAAUUAAUAACCUAAAAUCAACAGGGAUAAUGAAAAUAGUAUAAGCCCAUAGCCAGGCAAACUAAGAAAAUAAGGGAGAAGACACAAAUGCACUGAUAUCAGAAAUAAACAUGAAAUAGCAAUACAAACAACAUGGACAUAAAAAAUAUUGCUAACUCUAUGCCCACAAAUCUGAUUAACCUACAUAUAAUGGGUCAACUCUGUAAAGUCUCAAUCUAUCAAUGAUCACACCAGAAGAAAUAGAGUUUCUAAGAAGGAGUAUUUUUAUUGAAGAACUGAAUCAAUAAUUAGUAACCUUCCCAAAGACAGCACAAGGCCCAGAUGGAUUCACUGGUGCAAUCUACCAAACAUUAAAGGAAGACAGUUUAUCAAUUAUUUACAACAGAGGCAAAAGGAGUAUUUUUAACUCAUUAUAUGAAGCAAGCAUUACCCUAAUACACAAAACAGAAAAAGACAAUACAAGAAAACUAAAACCCAAUAUAUUUUAUAAACAUCAAUGCACACAUCCUUAACAAAACAUUAGCAAAUUGAGUCCAACAAUGUAUAAAACGAAUUAUGUAUCAUAACAAAGGAGGAUUUAUUUAUCUCACUGAUGAAAGGAGAAUUUAACAUGUGAAAAUCAAUUAAUCUAUCAUAUUAAUAAGCUAGAUAGAAAGAAAAUCACAUGAACAAAUCAAUAGAUUCAGAAAAAGCAUUUGAAACAAUUCAACACCAUUUAGUGAUUAAAGACUUGGAGUUAACUUCCUCUAACUGGGGGUAAACUUCAACUUCGUAUAAGACAUCUGCAAAAACCCUACCACCGACUUAAUAGUGAGAAAUUUUAAACUUUCCCACUAAGAUCAAGAACAAGGCAAUAAUAUCUUCUCUUACCACUGCUUUUCAGCAUCUUAUUGGAAGUCCUACUUAACGCAGUGACAAUAAAUGAAAAUAAAAGGUAUACACAUUAUGGAGGAGGAAAUAUAACUGUCAUUGUGUGCAGAUGACAUAAUCAUCUACGUGGAAAGUUGAAAAGAACUGACAAAUUUUUUUCUGUAACUAAUAAGCAAUUAUAGCAAGGUGGCAGGACACAAAGUUAAUAUACAAAAGUCAACCACUUUCCUAUAUAGCUGCAAUGAACAAUCAAAUUUGAAAUUAAAAACAGAACACUGUUUACAUUAGCAAUCAAAAAUGAAAUACUUAGACAUAAAUCUAACAAUGUAAACAUACAAAAUCUAUAUGUGCAAAAUUACAAAAUCUGAUGAAGGAAACUGAAGUAGAACCAAAUAAAUGGAGAGAAUUCCAGAUUUAUGAACAGGGAGACUCAGUGUAGUCAAGAUGUCAGGUUCUUUUUUUUUUUUUUCAAAUUUAUUAAUAGAUUUCAUGCAUUCCCAAUCAAAACCCAGGCAAGGUAUUUUGUAUAAACAUACUGAUUCUAAUGUUUAUAGCAAGAGAUAAUAUACUCAGACAGAAGAGAAAACAAUAUUGAAAGAGACGGAAAAGAUGGAAAGAUUGACACUAUCUGACUUAAAAACUUGUUAUAAAUUGCAGUAAUCAAGACAGUGUGGUAUUGUCAGAAGAGUAAACAGAUCACUGGAACAGAAUGGGGAGCUUAGAAACAGACCUAAUAAAUACAGUCAACUGAUCUUUAAAUAAUGAACAAAAGCAAUGUCAUGAAGGGAAGGCAGUUUUGUUAAACAGUUGGUGCUGGAACAAAUGAACAUCCUCAUGUGGGGAAAAAUAGGGAAUUUAAAAACAUAUGUUCCACUUGACAAAAAUUAACUCAAAAUGGAUAUUAGACCUAAAUGUAGAAUGGAAAAUGGUAAAUCUAAAAGGCAGCAUAAGAGAAAAUCUAGAUGACUUUGAAUUUGUUGAUGAAUUUUUAGAUAUAUUGUCAAAAGCAUUAUUAAUAAAAAGGUAAUUCGUAAGCUAGAAUUUAAUUAAAAUUAGAAAUUCCUGCCCUGUGAAAGAUACUGCCAAGAAAUGAAAAAAGAAGCCAUAUACUGGGAGUAAAUAUGUAGAAACAAAUAAACAAAAUAUCUAACAAAGGACUGUUAUCUAAAUUAUUCAAAUAACUCCUAAAACUCAACAAGAAGGAAACAAUUCAACAAAAUUGUGAGCUAAACACCCUAACAGACACCUCACCAAAGAAGAUACAGGUUGAAAAUCUUUAAUCCAAAAAUCCAAAAUCAAAAAUGCUCAGAAAUUCAAAACUUUUUGAGUGCUAAUAUGACAGCAAAACUGGAAAUUUUCACACCUGACCCCAUGUGACAGACUGCUGUCAAAACACGGGUGCACAACACAUAGUUUAUUUAGCACUCCCAAGGGAAAGAAAACACUACGAGCUCUCUCUUCAGCUUCUUAUGUCUUUGUGUGCAUGCUUAGAUUUCCCAAGAAAAAACACACAAAAGUACACCCACAGAGAAUAAUAACUCAUGUUUGCCCAAGCCCAAACAUGUCGAAGACAUUUUCCCCACAAUACCCCACCUGGGACCAAAGCUUACAUACAUACAUCACUCGCUGUGUUUUUUUUCCCCCUAUUCUGUUAUAUGAUGCAAAGAUACUGUUGAAAAUGUUAAAAAGACCUGCAGAUACCCUAAUGGGUAACAGUGAUACGAAAAUGGAAGAAGUAUUUAUUUUUAUCUACACCACAAAAUGUCAGGCUAUUGAAGAAAACUGGACGGUGUUGUAAGUGUAAAACGUCUUAUAGAAGAGUUUGAUAUUUGAAUGGCCACCAUAUAUGGCCUGAAGAAUCAGAUGGACAAACUAUUGAAAUUCUAUGCUGAAAAUGAUGAAUAGAAAUUAAUUAAAAUAGAAAAACAUUGCAUAAAGGUAAAAAUGAAGAUCUUGAUUGGGUAUUGAAAGUGUGUAUCCAUCAGCACUCCAGUGAACACAUGCCAGGUGAUGGUAUGCUGAUAAUGAAACAAUCAUCUGUCAUAACGGAUUGAGAACUGAAGAGCAUUAUUAACAUUUAACAGGCUGAUUGUAUAAAUUUAAGAAAAGGCAUGGCAUCAUUUUUUUUUUUUGAAGAAUUGUGGUGACAGAGCAUCUGCUAAACAUGAAGCAGUGGAGAAAUUUAUGAGUUUGCCAAAAUCAUCACUGAUGAAAAUCUGACAGGAGAAUAAGUCUGUAGUGCUGAUAAAUUAUCACCAUUUUGGUGUUGUUGCCCCAGACUGUAGUCUGAUAAAUCAUCACCAUUUUGGUGUUAUUGCCCCAGAAAGACACUGAUUGCAGCUUAUAAGAUAGCUCUUACAGGAAUUAAAAAUGCCAGGUGCAGAGUAACUGUGUUUGGAUGUGCUAAUGUAGUAGGCCUGCAUGGUUGUAAACUUGCUGUGAUAUGCAAAAACUUGUAUUCUUACUAUUCUUACGGAGUGAAUUUCAUGCCAGGUCAUGAUGAAGUUAAGAAAAAGGCAUGGAUCACCAGGGACAUCUUUUCUGACUGGUUUCCCAAACAUUUUCUGAGUGGCUUAUGCUCACUUCAACUAAAAUGAACUGGAUGGCAACUGUUGGAUUUUGUUAUUCCUUAACAACUCUUCUACUCGUUCUCCAGCUGAAGUAUCAGAAAUAAUAGUUAUGGCAUGUAUUAGGCUGGUGCAAAAGUAAUUGCAGUUUUUGCUAAUACUUUCCCUUAAAUGUGACUUCAUUAAUUUAGCCAUGUGUCCAAAGUAUGCUUACAUCAAUGAGGAGUAAUUAUAAACACACUUUUCUGAAUAAAAUGCCAGCUACACUAAACAAAGGUGUGUUUGUGGAAAGUUUUUCAAAGAAAUUUUGCAUAAAGGAUUCUGUAUAUAUUGUUACCAAUACUUGGAACGCAGUGACUGAAGACAGUAGUGUAUUCUUGACACAGUCUCUGGCCUGCAAUUAUGUUCCACGUUGAUAAUAAACAAAGUGGUGAUUUUGAAGAAAUCUGUAUAUCGAAAGAAAAAAUUAUUUCCCUACAUAAGCAAAAAUAUACCUUGAGAGUCUGUCAGUAAGCUGUAAGUAAUAAAUAUAGAAAAAGUUUUAACGCUGAUUAUGUGGCUUCAGUUGUCCAUUUAUUGAAACAUAGCCAAAAAUUUUUUUGAAUAAAGUGAUUAUGACAUUAGUGAUAAUGAAUGUGGCAUUGUUAACACUACAGAAAAAGUGCCUUUAGACAUGAUAAAAAUGUGACAGGCUUA